UGAAUCUAAAAGAGAAAAUGGUUCUCUCUGUAUCUUUUUGAACCAAUUAAUUAAACUUAUACCAUUCCUCGAAUCGUUUAACUGUUAUAAUUCUAACCUCUUAUAUAUUAGUGAAUUCUUCCUAGUAACAUUAUAUGUUUACUAAGAAAUUAUCCUUAAUUAAAAAUAUUAAUCUUAUGAUAUGAUAGUUUGAUUAUAUUAUUAAUCUGGUAAUAUUUUUGUAUUAAAUAUAUGUAUUAAAUACUUAUAUAUUUAUAUAAUUUUACAAUUACAAAAAAUAUUUUCAUAUUGUAUUUAUUUAUUAGUAUUAAUACUAAUUACUUAAUUUUAUAUCCAUUAUUUUUUCCAUUUUUUUUUAAUAUUUUCAUAUGACUAUAAAAAUUUAAUAUUCACUAAAAGCAGUAUGAUAUUUUAGAUAUAUUUUCUAAAAAAAUUAAUUUUUGUCAAAAAAUUAUAUAAACUUUUAUUUUUUAAUAAAAAAAAUAAAAUAAAUAUAAUUAACAAAUUUUAAUUUUUAGAAUUUUAGAAAAUUGCAUUCCAAAAUAUUUCAUAUAAAUAGAAUUGGAUGGAAAGUUGAUAUUUCUGAUGUUUCUAAAUUCUAUUCGCCAAAGAUAAAAAUUCUGGUGAAAUUAGAUACACCGGAAACAGGUUUAAAAGGAAGCCGGGCAAUAAUACGCGAUAAAAAUGAGAAGCAACGAUCUUUAAAUAGAAAGCACCACGAUGUAAGGGGGUGCAAUGGCACGAGACAAGGGAAAAAAAUCAAUACAAUAUGAUUCUUACGUUCGCCGUGACACCUGGCAGCUGAAAAACGAGCACAGGCGGCCUUUCCUGUGAUUGAAGUUGCAUUCUAGCUUGAUAUUUUGACCACGGACUACAUGCUGCGGUACCACCAGCUCCAGCAUCCUCAACGCAACCGUAUCUGAAAUCAAAUAGGAAAUUAACUGGAAAAUAAUUAUUAAGAAUAAUUUGAAAAUUUAAUGUCAAUAUAUGUUAAAAUUGAAUUAAAAAUGAAGAAAUCAGGCUAAAUAAUAUGAAAUUACAGUAUUACAACUGGAUUAAAUUAUAUAUAGGUUAUAAUAUCAACUCCUUAUUAAGACCUACUUGUAGAUUAAAUUUAGAUUAUAAUAAUAUGCAUUAAAUUAAA